rnacentral:misc_RNA from 1 species
UUCAAAAUUAUUAGUAUAAAUUAGUUUAAUAAGAAAAGUGAUGACUCUUGUGAGUCACUGUAUACUUCAUAUAUCUGCUUUGUGAUUUUAGUAUGUAUUCCUUGAAUAUAAGUGAAUUAUUUGGAUUUCAAAUAAAAAUUCAGUAGGUUCUUGCAUGUUAUCGCUCUCUGUAUAGAACAAGAAAAACAGUUUUUGAAGGAGAUGUACAUGCACUUCAAAUAUCAGCAAAGAAAUUACGAGAUGAAUUUAGAAAAAAUAUUUCAGUAAAUGAUCCUAAAAGAAUUGAAGAGUUGCUUGAGGUUGGGCAGAAUGUUGAAAGUUUGCUGAAAAAGCAUGUUGUGCAAUUACGUUUGAAUGAUAAAGGAAAUUAUGGUAAGAAAAAUGCUCUAAAUAUAUAAUUUUUUACAUUGUAUAUAUUGUUUUAUAUGUGAAAUGAAUGUAACACAUAACUUUACUGUUAUUUAUUUAGUCAUAUAAUUUUUUAAUUUAUAAUUGGUUGUUAUUCCACUUAAUACUGGAUAAUUUGUUAGUUUUAUAUUCAUUUUUAUCAUGUUAAUUUAUAUUUCUAAAUUAAUAUUCUUUACAAUUAAAAUAUCUUGGUCAUAAGUGAAGCUGAGAACAAUAUAAGUUACAAAGUAACACAAAAGUUCAUUUACAUUUUGUGUAUUCAUUUCUCACAUUUGAUUGAAUGACAGAACACUUUGAAACAGAUUUAAUUUUGGCAUACAAAGAGAGCAAAUAAAAAAAAUAUAUAUAAAUCAUGAAUUAUCUUUAAGUUUACACAAUUACAUAACAACAGUAUUUUUUUAAACAUUCAUGUAUAAAAUUAAAAAUUCUAUUAAGGUUUUGCUUAUAUUAGUUUUACAUGUAAUCAAAAAUUUAUUGUUUUUCAAUUAAAUGAAAGUAAAAAAAUCACCAGUUAUUUAGUAUUAAAAUAUAAGCCUACCCAUUUAAUCAAACAAAGUUCCACAUGUGAAUUGUGAAAGAAUACUUUGUCAACAAAGAUGAGAACAGUAACAGUACAAUAAAUUUUAUGAAUUUUGAUUUAGGUGAGGAUUAGUACUUUGAAAAGAAUUCUGGAAAGUUUAAAAAGAAUUUACUGGGGUGACUUUUUAAAACAAUACAAAUUUAAAAAAGAUUAAAGAAAUUUUAAUUAUACUCAUAAAACUUUGAUUUUAUAACAAUAUAAGUUACCCUAACUAACUAUUUUUCCAGAGAUCAACCUGAAAAACUCUGAUUCUUAACUCUUAAGUAUUUUUGAGCUUAUCCAGUUUAUCUUCAGGGGCUCUUUUGUUUUAAUUUUCUCUGUGAAUAUUUUCAUGAUGAUGAAUUAAAAAUUGUGAUUGUAAAUGUAACAUCAAUUCCAGUUGACAAUGAUGAUAAUUUUCAAUUGAAUGCAUUUAUAAAUUAUUUAUUACUGUAAUGGAUGAAUUAUUUGGUAUUCUUGAAACUAUUUUUCCAUGUUGAGCUGAUUUGUAUUUUGUGACUUUUAUAUAUUUCAUUUUUAUUUUAUUAAAAUUAGAAAAGUAAAUUAUUUACAAAUUAUGUUAUUAUUUAGCAUACUCAUUAUGACUGAAAAGAUUUCUUGAUAUGGUCAUACUUCAAAAUGAUUGUUUUUAAGGAUUCUUUUUUGCCUUAAAUAUCAUGCAUGAGAAGAAAAAUAAUCAUUUUCUAUAGAUGUUAGAAAAAUUGAGAUAAUUUUCAUGUUUUUUUUUGACUGAUUUGAAAACCUUUCAUGAAUAUGACCAAAAAAACUUUAAAAAAAUGUCUUUCUGUCAAAUCUAAGAUGAAAUGAAAUAAAUUUCAUUAAUUAUAUUGUCAUUAAUAUCACUAUAAGUUGUAAAAUUUUGUCGGAUGACAAUUUUACAAAAAUUAAUUUGAAGAUGUAGUCUGUCCGAAAUUGGUAACCACCAUUUAUUCACUUCUUGUGUUCCAGAAUACAAACAAUUGACGAUCUGACCUUUUUUUUGUAUGCUGCUUCACCAUCAAGUUUAAAAACAUUCCUUUAAAAAACAGAAAAAUAUCCAAUUAAAAUUACAAAGUGAAAAUUGGAACUGGCAGAUCUUACAGACAUCAUUUUUCUUUCCAUCCUUACCCUUAAAUACUACUUUAAGUUUUAAAAUGUUAUUACAGUAUAUUAUAAUUUAAUUUAAUGUCAUCUUUAAAAGUAGGCAACUUUGAUAAGCUUUAAUGUUUUAUAUUGAACAGCUGAUGAAAAUUUGACAAGCUAUUUGGGAUUAGACAUAUCUGAACAGAAAAAGUGAUAAAUCAUCAAACUAGUUUUUUUCAUUUUUUAAAAUAAUUUUUAAGUAUUU